AUGGCUGUCGUCAGCUCGUGUCGUGAGAUGUUGGGUUAAGUCCCGCAACGAGCGCAACCCUUAUUGCCAGUUGCUAACACGUAAUGGUGAGCACUCUGGCGAAACUGCCCCGGAUAACGGGGAGGAAGGUGGGGAUGACGUCAAGUCCUCAUGGCCUUUAUGUCCAGGGCCACACACGUGCUACAAUGGGUGGUACAAACCGUCGCAAACCCGCGAGGGGGAGCUAAUCGGAAAAAGCCAUCCUCAGUACGGAUUGGAGUCUGCAACUCGACUCCAUGAAGCUGGAAUCGCUAGUAAUCGCGGAUCAGCACGCCGCGGUGAAUACGUUCCCGGGCCUUGUACACACCGCCCGUCACAUCACGAAAGUGGGUCGUACUAGAAGUCGGUGGGCUAACCGCAAGGAGGCAGCCGCCCAAGGUAUGAUUCAUGAUUGGGGUGAAGUCGUAACAAGGUAGCCGUAGGAGAACCUGCGGCUGGAUCACCUCCUUUCUAAGAGAGAACGUCAUGGCAGUUUUGCCCUGCCUGAACGCUUCGGCGUUUCAGGGGCCUCCUCAAAAAGGCUUUUGGUGAAACAUGUUGCCAUGUACCCCUUCCAUCCUUUGCUAACCUGCUUAGGGAGGAAGGAAUCUCGCUCACAAUCUCUUUCCUGGCAAUGUUCCACGAUGGUCCGCAUCGGCUUAGCUGGUGCGCGCGUUCAACCUGUCCUCGGAAAUAAAUUCUGCAGGAAAUCUGUGCCAUAGGCCUGGUGAGCCAGCGGCAAGCGCUGUCACGCGCUGAGCCGAUGGAAAACAAGCGGGCCUGUAGCUCAGUUGGUUAGAGCACACGCUUGAUAAGCGUGGGGUCGAUAGUUCAAAUCUAUCCAGGCCCACUUUGACCUAGGCUGGUACGGGGCCGUAGCUCAGCUGGGAGAGCGCCAGCUUUGCAAGCUGGAUGUCGUCGGUUCGAUCCCGAUCGGCUCCACCAGGUUUCUGCGGGAACGGUUCUUUGACAAUUGCAUAUGCGCAAGAAGGAAGUAGAGAGGAAGCCGGCGCGCCCGUUUUGGACGAUGGGCGGAAGGACUGCGCUGGACCUUGGUCUCUUUGAGGUGAAGGUGGACGAAGAAGAGAGAUGACCAAGCUACGAAGGGCACACGAUGGAUGCCUAGGUGACAGGAGGCGAAGAAGGACGUGGGUAGCUGCGAAAAGCGUCGGGGAGCCGCUAACCAGGCUUUGAUCCGGCGAUAUCCGAAUGGGGAAACCCGG
rnacentral:sRNA from 1 species